CCACAUACUAUCCACGUCCCCCCUACACUCCCACACCCCCAUUCCUGCCAACUUCUCCCCUAUCUCCCACGCAUUCACUAGCAUCAAGCCACCCGACUUAAUUCUAGGUCUACACUCCUCACCCCUUCUCUUCUUAUCCUUCUUUAUACCCAAAUCCAUAACCAAGAGCCUAUACUGGGUCGAAAGAUUCUUACUCGGGAUGACCUUACAGUCCC
rnacentral:lncRNA from 1 species